rnacentral:rRNA from 1 species
UACAGAGGGGGCAAGCGUUUAUUCGGAAUUAUUGGGCGUAAAGGGCGCGUAGGCGGCCUUUCAAGUGACGGGUGAAAUCCCUCGGCUUAACCGAGGAACUGCCUGUCAGACUGGGAGGCUUGAGACCGGGAGAGGUGAGUGAAUUCCCAGUGUAGCGGUGAAAUGCGUAGAUAUUGGGAGGAACACCAGUGGCGAAGGCGGCUCACUGGACCGGAACUGACGCUGAUGCGCGAAAGCGUGGGGAGCAAACAGG